rnacentral:rRNA from 1 species
UACAGAGGGUGCAAGCGUUAAUCGGAAUUACUGGGCGUAAAGCGUGCGUAGACGGUCAUGUAAGUCGGGUGUGAAAGCCCCGGGCUCAACCUGGGAAUUGCAUUCGAGACUGCGUGGCUAGGGUGCGGAAGAGGGAAGCGGAAUUUCCGGUGUAGCGGUGAAAUGCGUAGAUAUCAGGAGGAACACCGGUGGCGAAGGCGGAUCUCUGGGCCAUUACUGACGCUGAGGAGCGAAAGCGUGGGGAGCGAACAGG